rnacentral:rRNA from 1 species
CCUACGGGGGGCUGCAGUGGGGAAUAUUGGGCAAUGGGGGAAACCCUGACCCAGCAACGCCGCGUGAAGGAAGAAGGUUUUCGGAUUGUAAACUUCUGUCCUUGGUGAAGAGAAGAAGACGGUAGCCAAGGAGGAAGCCCCGGCUAACUACGUGCCAGCAGCCGCGGUAAUACGUAGGGGGCAAGCGUUGUCCGGAAUGAUUGGGCGUAAAGGGCGCGUAGGCGGCUUUAUAAGUCUGGAGUGAAAGUCCUCUUUUCAAGGGAGGAAUUGCUUUG